AUGGAGCAGGAGCUGCGGGGCGGCGGGGCGGUCAGGGCGCAGAGCACGCUGUGCUUCUCCGGCGCGCUGGUGGACGGGCCCCGAAUCCAGCAGCUGCUCCUCCACUGCGCCGCCGCGCUCGAGUCCAACGACGUGACGCUGGCGCAGCAGGCCAUGUGGGUGCUCAACAACAUCGCCUCCGCGCAGGGUGACCCCAACCAGCGACUCACCUCGUCGCUGCUCCGCGGCCUCGUCGCGCGCGCCUGCCGGACCUGCGGCUCCCCGCGCGCCGACAGCAUGGGGCCGCCCCCGGCGCUGGGAUCGCAGCGGGCCAUGUCCGUGACGGAGCUCGCCGACUACGUCGACCUCACCCCGUGGCACAGGUUCGGCUUCACCGCUUCCAACGGCGCCAUCCUCCGCGCCGUCGCCGGGAGGGACGCCGUGCACGUUGUUGACCUUGGAGUCACGCGCUGCAUGCAGUGGCCCACGCUCAUCGACGCGCUCUCUAAGCGGCCCGGGGGGCCGCCGGCGCUCCGCAUCACCGUGCCGUCCGUCCGGCCCGCCGGCCCGCCACUGCUCGGCGUGCCGGACGAGGAGAUAGGUCUCAGGCUGGCCAACUUUGCCAAGUCCAAAGGCGUGCACCUGGAGUUCAACGUCGUCAACAAGAGCACGGCCACGUCAUCUCCAUCUCCGACGAAGCUGCAGACGCUUUGCCAGGAGCUCGCCUGCGUCCUCUCCGACCAGUCGGCGCUGCGGCUAAGAGACGGCGAGGCGCUCGUCGUGAACUGCCAGAGCUGGCUCCGGCACGUCGCGCCGGGCUCGAGGGACGGCUUCGUGGACGCGGUCCGGGCGCUGGACCCGUGCCUGGUCACCGUGACCGACGAGGACGCCGACCUGGACUCGCCGAGCCUGGCCACGCGCAUCGCGGGCUGCUUCAACUUCCACUGGAUCCUCUUCGACGCGCUCGACACAUCCGCGCCGAGGGACAGCCCGCGGCGGCUGGAGCACGAGGCGGCCGUGGGCCAGAAGAUCGAGAGCGUCGUCGGCGCCGACGGCACCGAGCGGUCCGAGUCCGGCGCGAGGCUCGCGGAGAGGAUGCGACGGAAAGGGUUCGCCGGCGCGGGGUUCGGCCAGGACGAGGUGGCCGAGGUGCGGCACCUGCUGAGCGAGCACGCGACGGGGUGGGGCGUGAAGCGGGAGGAGGACAUGCUAGUGUUCACGUGGAAGGGGCAUGCAGCCGUGUUCACCACUGCCUGGGCGCCCAACUAA
rnacentral:rRNA from 1 species